rnacentral:rRNA from 1 species
CUACGUGCCAGCAGCCGCGGUAAUACGUAGGUCCCGAGCGUUAUCCGGAUUUAUUGGGCGUAAAGCGAGCGCAGGCGGUUAGAUAAGUCUGAAGUUAAAGGCUGUGGCUUAACCAUAGUACGCUUUGGAAACUGUUUAACUUGAGUGCAGAAGGGGAGAGUGGAAUUCCAUGUGUAGCGGUGAAAUGCGUAGAUAUAUGGAGGAACACCGGUGGCGAAAGCGGCUCUCUGGUCUGUAACUGACGCUGAGGCUCGAAAGCGUGGGGAGCGAACAGGAUUAGAUACCCUGGUAGUCCACGCCGUAAACGAUGAGUGCUAGGUGUUAGGUCCUUUCCGGGACUUAGUGCCGCAGCUAACGCAUUAAGCACUCCGCCUGGGGAGUACGACCGCAAGGUUGAAACUCAAAGGAAUUGACGGGGGCCCGCACAAGCGGUGGAGCAUGUGGUUUAAUUCGAAGCAACGCGAAGAACCUUACCAGGUCUUGACAUCCCUCUGACCACUCUAGAGAUAGAGUUUCCUUCGGGGCA